CGGUAAUAGGUAGGUGGCAAGCGUGGUCCGGAUUUAUUGGGCGUUAAAGCGAGCGCAGGCGUUUUUUAAAGUCUGAUGUGAAAAGCCUUCGGCUAACCGAAGAAGUGCAUUAGAAACUGGGAAACUUGAGUGCAGAAGAGGACAGUGGAACUCCAUGUGUAGCGGUGAAAUGCGUAGAUAUAUGGAAGAACACCAGUGGCGAAGGCGGCUGUCUGGUCUGUAACUGACGCUGAGGCUCGAAAGUAUGGGGAGCGAACAGGAUUAGAUACCCUGGUAGUCCAUACCGUAAACGAUGAAUGCUAAGUGUUGGAGGGUUUCCGCCCUUCAGUGCUGCAGCUAACGCAUUAAGCAUUCCGCCUGGGGAGUACGACCGCAAGGUUGAAACUCAAAGGAAUUGACGGGGGCCCGCACAAGCGGUGGAGCAUGUGGUUUAAUUCGAAGCAACGCGAAGAACCUUACCAGGUCUUGACAUCCUUUGACCACUGUAGAGAUACAGCUUUCCCUUCGGGGACAAAGUGACAGGUGGUGCAUGGUUGUCGUCAGCUCGUGUCGUGAGAUGUUGGGUUAAGUCCCGCAACGAGCGCAACCCUUAUGACUAGUUGCCAGCAUUUAGUUGGGCACUCUAGUAAGACUGCCGGUGACAAACCGGAGGAAGGUGGGGAUGACGUCAAAUCAGCAUGCCCCUUAUGACCUGGGCUACACACGUGCUACAAUGGUCGGUACAACGAGUUGCGAACCCGCGAGGGUAAGCUAAUCUCUUAAAGCCGAUCUCAGUUCGGAUUGUAGGCUGCAACUCGCCUACAUGAAGCCGGAAUCGCUAGUAAUCGCGGAUCAGCACGCCGCGGUGAAUACGUUCCCGGGCCUUGUACACACCGCCCGUCACACCAUGAGAGUUUGUAACACCCGAAGUCGGUGGGGUAACC
rnacentral:rRNA from 2 species